rnacentral:rRNA from 1 species
UACGUAGGGGGCAAGCGUUUGUCCGGAUUUAUUGGGCGUAAAGAGCGUGUAGGCGGUUUAGGUAGGUCCGUUGUGAAAACUCCGGAGGCUCAACCUCGGAGACGCCGAUGGAAACCAUCUGAACUAGAGUCCGGAAGAGGAGAGUGGGAAUUCCGUGGUGUAGCGGUGAAAUGCGCAGAUAUCAGGAGGAACGACCAAUGGCGAAGGCAGCACUCCUGGGGACGUGACUGACGCUGAGACGCGAAAGCGUGGGGAGCAAACAGG